AGUGAAUGAAUUGAAGAGAACAUUUUCAUUGCAUACCUCUUCAUAGAUCCUUUAAAACAAGCAAGCGCAUUUCACGGGCUCAUCAGUGUUCCAUGAGAAGUAACCUCUGCCAACGUCUAAAUCAGUGUUGACCAUUUCCAAAGAGUGUACCAGCACAGAUGAAGACUCUUGCAGGAGGCCCCUGCUAUAUUCCGACUCGCUAGAAUGGAAGAACAGUCAUUUCCAUCACAUCUUUCUAGAUAAUUGCAGCAAGAUGCUCAAGGAAACAAAAAAAAUUACCUUUUAUGAUACUUCACAACAGUCAACAACUAUCGGCAACACGCAACAUAUAAAUCAAUAGAGAAUCGUCGAUCUACAAGGGAAGGAUCCAUGAGCUUACUGAAGUCUACAGUGCAACAGGUAUGUGUAAUGAUUGUGUUAUAUGCGAGGACACUUCGCGGACACCCUUGUGAGUACUUCAACAAACAUGAGAAUAACUGCCCCCGGAUCGGGAAGAACACCAUCUCUACCAGAAUUUGCUCUUCUGUUGAAAAUUAAGGGACCUUACAGGUGUAAG
rnacentral:lncRNA from 1 species